CUCCUCUGAACGUCAGCGUCGGUAGCUGGAGGAUGAAGCCUGCAUGCAGCGCCUGUUUCUCUCGGAGCCUCUCAGAGGGCAGCUGUGAUUUGCACCGUCUCACAGGCGGGUGGGAGCUGCAGCGCGGGGAAACAAUCUUCUCAUGACUGUUCUGACUCGCUCCAGCUGCUCUUCAUCACCCACCCUCGCCAUCAGACGCCAAGGGAUCCACUGAUCAAGCUCUUCCACAGCCGUAAUGUCCUGGUUGUUCUUGGACUGGUUCGUGCCCCUCUACCUGCUGGUCUCGGUUCUGGUGCUGGCAGGCUUCGGAGCGUGCCUGUACUUCCUUGAGCCCGGGCUGCAGGACGCCCACAAAUGGAGCAACAAAACAAUCCGGCAUCACCCGCUGGUGGCCAGCGUAAACUGCAGAGAUGACGAUAGCAAUGCCCUGAUCUGAUGGAGAGGGUGGCAGAGGACGCGGGCAGAAAGGUGCGCAGACAGGACACCGAAAGGGACGAGGAGCUGGGAAGCAAUACCUUGACAACCACAGGAGGAGAAGGAGGGAGAUGGGGAUCAUUUAUCAUUCCAACUUUUCUUUGCUCUCUGUGGAUUUUCCCAGCAGGGAUCAAGUAAAGUGAGGCAUACAUGCAGGACUACAGAAGGAAAUUGUGAUUUGAUUCAAAAAAACAUGUUGCCCUUUAGUGUUUGUAAGUCUGAGGCCAUCUUAUAUACUUGUGCCAACUUUUGCAUACAUUUUGUAAUUUGACAAUCACUUUACAUGUGACACAAAGUUAACUUUCAUUGUGCUUUUUUUUUUCAUAGUGAAGUGAAUGACGUAAGUCUGCUGCCACUGGGGGAGGUUUUUUUUCACUUUGCAAUCUUCUCCCCGAUGUCUGCACGGCAGCUGUGGAAAUGCAUGUGGAUAGUUAGUUCUGCUGUGUCAAACCGAUGCAACGCUUGUUAAAGUAACUUGCCGUGAAUAAAUAAGAGAUUCCUUCAAUGUGCCAAGAAAAUCCCAGAUGGACCAACAGUGCAGAGAAAUAGCUUUUGUUAAUUCGUUGUGUUUUUGAUUUUGACUGCAUCACGAGGAAACUGUGUGUAACACAGGCUUUUUUUGCCUUCUUUAUUCAUACAAAAUAAAAUCUUUUAAUCCAUUCAGAA